rnacentral:tRNA from 1 species
ACCUGGGUGGCUCAGUCAGUUGAGCCUCUGACUUCAGCUCAGGUCAUGAUCUUGCAGUUCGUGGGUUUGAGCCCCACAUUAGGCU